rnacentral:lncRNA from 1 species
CACUGGAAACUCGACGCGAUUCUCCUCUCCUCGUCGCCCCCUCGCCUAUAAACUAAGAGUUGCCGCAACAAAAGUUGUCGUGUGUAAUAAGGCUCCAAAGAGAAGAAGUGCAAUAAUAAAAUACAUGCAUAUAUUUUGCCGUCGGCUAUUGCAUUCUUCUCGUUGAACUAAAAUUAAAUACAAUACUUAAAUAAAUAUACACCCGCUACAUACCUACAUACGAAUAGCGCACCCAUUCGCUUAUGCAAGGCAUACACGCACCAAUUAGUUGGUUGAUUGAGUUGAGCUAGAAAUUGCCCUUGUCGCCACACACGACACAACUUUUAAUACAAUUUUGAGGCCAACUUCAUUUUGAAUAUUCAAUUCGUAGCGUAAACAUGAGUUCGGAAGUUAUUGCUUUAAUUAUUAUAAAUGAAGUUUUAGCGGAAGAAGAAGAACUGGAGCAAACAAGAAUUUGGAAAAAAAAGAAAAUGGUGUAAAAUGUGGUUGCAAAAUAAAAAUGAAUUUUCAAAUAACAAGCUUUUGAAGACGUUGAGAGAAACCAAGCCAAAGGACUACAAGAAUUACAUGCGCAUGAGCGAUGAAGUGUUUUAUGAUCUUCUCUUGAAAGUGAAAGUUUUUAUUGAAAAAGAAGACACAAUAAUGCGAGAAGCAAUUAGUGCAGAGAAUCGUUUGGCAAUAACUUUACGAUUUUUGGCUACGUGAAACUCAUUUGAAGACCUAAAAUUUUCAACAGCAAUAUCUGCGUAAGCGAUUGGUAAAAUUGUAAUUGAGACGUGCAAGGCUAUUAUAAAAGUUCUAAAAGACUCAAUUAAGCUUCCUAAAACACCUGAGCAAUGGAUGGCUGUAGCUGAUCAAUUUUAUGAGAAGUCGAUGUUUCCCAACUGUCUAGGCGCGCUCGAU